AAGAGAAUCCUCACUGACCAGGGGAGAGAGUUUGUGAAUGCAUGCUCUCAGCAAGUUGGUGGCCCAAAAGCCAGACACUUGGGAUGAAUAUCUGGAUGCCGUCAUGUUUGGGUUGAGGACGAAAAAACAAAUGACAACUAAGUUCUCCCCAUUUUUUUUAAUGUUUGGGCGAGAAGCCAGGUAUCCCACUGAAGUGCCUGAAGAUUUCAUGGUGGACAGCAGUGUUGAGGAUGUUGUUGGUGAGGAGGCUGUGUCAGAGGACAUAAAGCGCCUUGACCUCAUAAAAGACAUUCUCCACGAAAACAUUAUGAAACAGCAGGAGAGCACAAAGAGGCGCAUGAAGGAGGGUGCUGCCAAACCUGCAUUGAAAGUGGGAGACAAAGUAU
ensembl:lncRNA